UGCCUAUGGAAAGCCCACAAGCAGGACCUGAGUCUAAGAGCACUCUCUCCUCCUGCGGUUUCCAGGGUCGGCAAUCAGGGGCAUAUCCCAAAGAAAGUCUGGUUUGGGUUGAAGGUGACCAAAUACAAAGGAGGCCAGCGCUCCUGACCUUUUAAUAGGUUUCAAGGAAAAGGAAUAUUCAGCAAAAUCCGGUUUGCUCGUCUGCAUAUGACCUGGCAAAAGUUCCUGUUCUAUGCAGUUGCUACAGAGAAAGGCGCCCUGCCCUCUUCGGCGCCUGGAAGCCUUGAGCUUCCGCACUUCCCCGGGUACGUCAGAGCAACUCAGAAAAGGCGUAGGGAAAGACACCGAUACUAGCAAAGACAGAACGCAAACGUUUGCUUUCCAACAGAUUGGCGGAAGGGAGGGACUUCAGAUUCGGCUCCCUAGCCAUGAAGCCUAAACAUUUAUAGGGCAACCGGUUGAUGGCUAAGAUGAGACGCUGGACUUUCGAGGAGAGGGGCGGGAAUGCAGUAGCCAUAGCGACGGCGGGACAAGGCAGAGAAAGGGCGACGGGAGGAAGAGAAGAGAAAGACCGUCCGUCGGAGGGAGAAAAACGGUCCAAUACCUUUAAUCCCCGCCAUGUCCCCCUUCCUUUGUGGGGUGAUUUUCGCUCUCCGGACUACGAAGCAGAGGAGGAGGAGAAUGUGCUGCCUUCUUCCGCCUUCUGUUCACGUGGCCUUAUCAUAACCCUUCCCCUUCCCAUAGGAAAAAAAGAAGCUGCCGUACACACUUUUUCAAAAAGACUCUUGUCACGUCAAUGAAGCGCGUAGCUGGGCUCCAAAGUAUUUGUGGCAGCCCCUCUCCGAUGCUUCAGCGACCUGUUGUGAUAAUUAGGGUCAGUGAGGUGCUUUUUCCUGAGAAAUUCCCCUCAAAAUGUUGACUGUUCCGUUGCUUCUUUCAGCUGUUCAAACAUCUGCUUGUAAUUCAUCUACCCGAAUCACCCGUUCGGGUGGGUGCACAAUUCCCAGCUCAGCGCAGGAUUGUGAAUUGGACAGUCUUGGGCGAAUAACAGAGCACUUCUACAUGCACCUCAGCGGAUAUAGCCCACUUUCGCUAUCAAGCAAGAAUAACUAACAGGUUGGACACACGUUCAUUAAUAUGGCGCAAGCUCCGCGUGUUGCCCGUAAACUAUCAUGCCAGCGCCAACUAGGAUAUUACCAGGUGUCUUCUGCUUGCAGAAACUUCCAAUUCGACCCAUGAUCAGCCUAUGUUGGCAAGCAGAAACCAGACAUGAAUGAAAGAUAUUGUUCAUGGGAUAGAAUUAUUUACAAUACUGAUUUACUAUCUCUCCUCUUACAAGCAAUGAAAUGAAUUCUGACUUAGUUCUGCAUGAUCCUUCCAGCCCUUUUGAAAAGGCAUGGAUCAUACAUAGUAAUAAUUUGUGUGUGAAUACAGAAGGAAAUAGCUUUGUGAAGAUUCCAGUUUGUCCAAUGAGAAUGUUACAGAAAGGCCAACCCAAAUGUCUGAACCACACUGCAGUCUAAAGUAGGAUCAAUACUCCUUCAGCUCUAUUAUUAGACAAAAACAAAUUACCAAGCAGAUUUCAGUAAGCAGCAUUAUUGCAUCUCUUUGAUUUCACUUCUAUAUCUCCUAGAUUUUAAAGUUUUGGGGGUAGAACGCUUAUUUACUGCAGAGAGGUGUGCUUAGAUGAGGUGAAACAGGAGCAGCCCCAAGCAGUUUUUUUCAAGAAAAAAUGAGAACUGUUUCCCUUGAUAAAAAGACAAUAAUUUGAAACACAUCAGGAACCUAUUGUUCAGCUGGCUUUUCUUUUCUUUUCUUUUUUUUGGCUUCAACAGCUGUUUUUGAUCCGCUCAUAGUGCCUUAAGAUUUUUACAUCCCAUUGUUAUCUCGCUACAGUAUUAAAGUAUUUGGGGUCAGUCAGCUAACCUUCCCACAUAUUUAGCUUUACAUUCAACAGACAGAUCAAAUCAUACUUUAGCCUGAAGCCGUCCCCCAAUGGUUGAUCGCAUAUGGUAAACAGAAACCACCACAUCACCAUGGACAGUGACUCCUAAUGGAAUUACAACUUUUCCUUCUUGAACGCGGAAUUCCCUAAAGAGAAGUAAAAUAAAAUAACACAUGAGAAAUCUCAAAGCAAAAUUCACAUUGAGCAAAACAAUGUUGUGGAACCCAAAUGUGGAACUCCGUCCAAUAGAGUUACGGUUGUCCUACACACUAUCUAUUUUUAGCAGCCAUAUUAAAGUCACAUUCACACCAGACAUUUAAUCCACCAUUAUUCCAUUUUAAGCAGUCAUGGCUUCCCCCAAAGAAUUCUGGGAAGUGUAGUUUGUGAAGGAUGCCGAGAGGUGACUCCCAUUCUGCUCCCAGAGCUACAAUUGCCAGAGUAGUUUAACAGUCAGUCCGUCUUCCCAGAGAACUCUGGAAAUUUUAGCUCUGUGAAGGGAACAGGGCUCUCCUAACAACUCUCAGCACACUUCACAAACUACACUUUCCAAGAUUCUUUUGGGAAAGCCAUGAUGCUGUGAAGUGGAAUAACAGUAGAAUAAAUGUAUGGUCUGAAUGUAGUCUAAGAUGCAUUUAUUUUCCCAGGCUUUUGGUUUUGACUAAUGUAAGAGGAUGGCUGCUGGAUUGUCUCAUUUUGGACUUCUUGGUAUGUUGAUGUUUUGUUCUGAUAUUUGUCGGCUUUGUAGCUCUUGUACUGAUUUGUGAAUUUUAAUAUAUUGUUAUGUACUGCCCUGGGAACCUUUGGA